rnacentral:rRNA from 1 species
AGUGAACGCUGGCGGCAGGCCUAAUACAUGCAAGUCGAACAGCAGCACAGCUUAAGCUUGCUUAAGUGGGUGGCGAGUGGCGGACGGGUGAGGAAUACAUGGGAAUCUGCCCAGUCGUGGGGGAUAACGUAGGGAAACUUACGCUAAUACCGCAUGCGCCCUUCGGGGAAAGCCGGGACCGUAAGGCCUGGCGCGAUUGGAUGAGCCCAUGUCGGAUUAGCUAGUUGGCGGGGUAACGGGCCUACCAAGGCGACGAUCCGUAGCUGGUCUGAGAGGAUGAUCAGCCACACUGGAACUGAGACACGGUCCAGACUCCUACGGGAGGCAGCAGUAGGGAAUAUUGGACAAUGGGCGCAAGCCUGAUCCAGCCAUGCCGCGUGAGUGAAGAAGGCCCUCGGGUUGUAAAGCUCUUUUGUCCGGAAAGAAAGCACUGGGUUAAUACCCCGGUGUCCUGACGGUACCGGAAGAAUAAGCACCGGCUAACUUCGUGCCAGCAGCCGA